AUUGACCGCUGGCGGCAGGCCUAACACAUGCAAGUCGAACGAGUGGCGGACGGGUGAGUAAUGUCUGGGAAACUGCCUGAUGGAGGGGGAUAACUACUGGAAACGGUAGCUAAUACCGCAUACCAUCGGAUGUGCCCAGAUGGGAUUAGCUAGUAGGUGGGGUAAAGGCUCACCUAGGCGACGAUCCCUAGCUGGUCUGAGAGGAUGACCAGCCACACUGUAACUGAGACACGGUCCAGACUCCUACGGGAGGCAGCAGUGGGGAAUAUUGCACAAUGGGCGCAAGCCUGAUGCAGCCAGGCCGCGUGUAUGAAGAAGGCCUUCGGGUUGUAAAGUACGUUCAGCGGGGAGGCGUUACCCGCAGAAGAAGCACCGGCUAACUCCGUGCCAGCAGCCGCGGUAAUAC
rnacentral:rRNA from 1 species